AUUGAACGCUGGCGGCAUGCCUUACACAUGCAAGUCGAACGGGCUUUUGGGGCUUGCUCCAAAAGUUAGUGGCGAACGGGUGAGUAAUAUAUCGGAACGUGCCCUGGAGUGGGGGACAACCAGUCGAAAGAUUGGCUAAUACCGCAUACGAUCCAAGGAUGAAAGUGGGGGACCUUCGGGCCUCAUGCUCCUGGAGCGGCCGAUAUCUGAUUAGCUAGUUGGUGGGGUAAAGGCCCACCAAGGCGACGAUCAGUAGCUGGUCUGAGAGGACGAUCAGCCACACUGGGACUGAGACACGGCCCAGACUCCUACGGGAGGCAGCAGUGGGGAAUUUUGGACAAUGGGGGAAACCCUGAUCCAGCAAUGCCGCGUGAGUGAAGAAGGCCUUCGGGUUGUAAAGCUCUUUUGUCAGGGAAGAAACGGUGGGGACUAAUAUCCUCUGCUAAUGACGGUACCUGAAGAAUAAGCACCGGCUAACUACGUGCCAGCAGCCGCCGUAA
rnacentral:rRNA from 1 species